UGCCAGCAGCCGCGGUAAUACGUAAGAGACUAGUGUUAUUCAUCUUAAUUAGGUUUAAAGGGUACCCAGACGGUCAAAAUAA
rnacentral:rRNA from 1 species